ensembl:lncRNA
AAAAGACCCGCCGAAUUGUCUGGACUCCGGCCUUCAGUGACUGCUGCCUCGCGAAGCGACAACGCCAUCUUUUCUUCGAGCGACCGAGACGUUGGUCGUCCUCUCGCCUCUGUUCCCUCCUCGGCCUGGGGUUACUGCGAAUCUGGCGCUGAAGACUGAAGCUGCUAACGUUAUAUUAGAAGCCUCAGAAGACCUUCAAGGAUCCAGUUGACCUCUGAAUCAGCUGUUAAGAAAAUGGGACAGUUAUAUUGCUUCAAUUGGUCUCCUACUUCACUUGAUUCCACCAUCAUUACAAGGCUGCAAGGGAUCUGGAAAAAUGUCAUCCUGUCAAGCUGAAAAACUUCUUCAAAAAGGCACUAACAAGAACAGCUUGAUUGCAGAGAAGAGACCACACAGCCAUACACGCUCACUGAUGGGACGAUGAGGAACAUCAUUCAUGGAUGCUACACAACUCAAAUCUACACGUCAUAUUUGUUCAUGUCUAGGUAAAUUUGAUGAUUUUGUGUUUUAUUAAUUACUUUGUUUCUGUGCAACACUUAAUGAAUGUGACUGACUAAUUAACC